UUUACUAGUACUUGCUUCUAUGAGUGAGUGUUCAGUAAACUUCAAAAACACAUCGCUGUUAAAUAAGUAUUGUCUAAUUAACAAUAUCUGUUUUGCAAACACGUGCUGUCUCCCUGCCAUGGUGUAUCUGUUCCACUUCUUAAAACUACCCCUCUCCUGCGCACGUCAUGUAACGGGAGGACUUCCAUAGCAACCACUGAAGCAGGCUUCCUGUUAACCAAAACGCUGAUUUAAGACUUACAGCAACUUUGGAGUAAAACGGAACCUUGGAGUUUGUUUUGGGUUACAUAAAACAGCGGUCAAAGGAGGAGUGUUGCCUGAGGUGAACCGGUGUACCCAAUGCUGCCCUUUGUACCACUGUCCAUUGUGCCAGCCAAGCAAAUAUAAACCUAAUAAAUGCCACCAUUUGAAAAAGCACUUGGAUGUCCAUCUAAAGGGUGCAGUGCAGUGUGAUGAAUAUGCAAUCUGUAAGUGUGAGCUACCUUGCAGGCAAACGUCUCAUUUUCACUACAUCAAAUGUUCUAAAAUACUCCUAGAAAAAAGGAAUUUCAUCAGAGAUGUCCAACUCUGCCAGGAUAGUCGAUUGCUGCUUCAAAGGGGAAAUAUGUAUUUUGUGCAGACGGUUAUGUUGUGCCAACAUGGCUGCCCCUCAGCUUCCUGAUGAUGUAGCAUCGAAGGACUUUAUCAUGCUGCCCGCCAAGACAUGCCUUCCAUACAAAAGUGGUGGUGUUUGCUGUUAGUGGAAAACUUCAGUCUCGGGAGUACUUCUGACAAGAAAGCAGGACUUCAAUCAAAACAGAUAAAUAAGUGCUCUGAAAUAAUACAAAAAAAAAAAACCUUCAGACAACUGUGAAUGAAUGACUGUGUUAACAUCUACUUUGUCAGGGGUGCAUAAUUCUGGGACAAGAAGGUUUUCAUUUUUUGGUCUCCCUGAACCCUUCAUUAACUGAUUUGAAUUAACUUGUUUAAUUGGACAAGCUUAACCCUUUUUAUUUGCUCUUAAGCAACUGGAGAUUUACAGACAGCUUCAAAAACCUGCUGGACUGACCUUGACUCUAGAGGAGCAGAAUUGUGCACCAAUAAAUGUAUAUAUUAUACUUGAUGUGAGAUUUUGACAAUUUAAUGUUUAUGGAAAAUGGUCAGUCCAAAUGUUUA